AAUGAGUGUGUAACAAAGAAACCCUGCAAGAACGAUGCGAGCUGCAUCAACAACGAAGGCGGCUACACGUGCAAGUGUACUUCGGGAUUCACCGGGAAAAACUGUGAAAAUGACGUAAAUGAGUGUGUAACAAAGAAACCCUGCAAGAACGGUGCAAGUUGCAUCAACAACAAAGGCGGCUACACGUGCAAGUGUACUUCGGGAUUCACCGGGAAAAACUGUGAAAAUGACGUAAAUGAGUGUGUAACAAAGAAACCCUGCAAGAACGGUGCAAGUUGCAUCAACAACAAAGGCGGCUACACGCGCAAGUGCACUGAGGGAUUUAUCGGAAAAAAACUGUGAAAAUGACGUUAAUGAGUGUAUGACAACGAAACCUUGUAAGAAUGGAGGGAAGUGUGUGAACAGCGAUGGCGGCUAUCGUUGCGAAUGCGGCGAUGACUUUUAAGGAAAACACUGUAAAAUCGAGAAUCAAAAUGGAGGUGCCAUUAAGUACAAGAACCUUGGCUGCUUUAAAGACAAGGGAAGCAACAGGGUAUUUCCAAAAAUGAUAAAGAACCUCCGAUCAGAGAUAGUGUGGAGCGACAUGAAGACCAGUGUGGUCGACAAAUGUGAAAAGGAAGCCAAGGAAGCGGGAUAUUCAAAGUUCGCCAUUCAGUUCUACGGAGAGUGCUGGGUGGGACCAUCGGACGCUGAUUACGCAAAAUACGGCGAGUCUGAACUCUGCUGGAGCGGUGUCGGGGGCACUGAUGUCAUCAAUCAAGUCUAUCUCCUCCAAUGAGGUGAGGCAUGGUGACAAUUUAGAACCUCUCCUCCACUGAAAAAGCUCAUACUCGGAGUCCAUCAAGUCGACCAUUUUCUAUGUCCACUCAAUGAGAAAGCUAAAAUGAUGUAUUUUAGAAGGGGUAAACAGAAACCAUUUAGAUAUAGGGUGGACCGAUUGAUGCCACAACUUGAAGUAAAUCCUGUUUAACAUAUCCACCAAAUACAUAUUGUUCAAAUAAACGAACAAACAAAAUGACCUUUGCAUGUUGAUUGUACAUGGAACAAACAGCAA